rnacentral:lncRNA from 1 species
UGAUGACUUUGAAUUCUUUUGUUUAUUCGCUGACCCUCCACACUUGUUAGCAGAUGCUAUAAUUGAGUCCCGAUUAGACAAAAUGGUAUUCAGUGAGUGUUACUGGCAUUCCCAAUCGUGUUGCCAUUUCAACUCUACUAAUAUUUGGAUUUCUUUCCACCUCGUAUAUAAUGUCCACCUUUUCGGUGAGGCUUCAUACAUUGUUUUGUGCCCAUUACAUCAGAUUUUGGCAUUCACUUCUUUUCAUUUCGGUUCCAUGAUGAGAGAGCACACACUACCAUGUACACAACCACAACUUUAAUCACACGAUCCCUAGUAGGGAAGAAAGUAAGCUAGUUAUUGGCUGUAAGCCAUAUGCAUUGCGACAAUUGGCGCUAAUGUCGUACCGAUAUGUAUAUUUCCCCUGGGAAACUUAUGACGACAUGUGAGAGGAGGGGACAUAAUAAUAAUUCUGUCAAAUGUUAUAUCGAAAAUUAUUUACAUGAGUUUAGUGAUAUAGUGACCAGAAAAUUUGAACGUUAGAUAGAGGAUAACGUUAGAUCGAAAAACGUUAGACUGAAACAUUUUAAUGUUAUUUUCCCCUAUUUUUUGCCGGGACCGGAGAAAAAGAAUGUUAGAUCGAGGAAAACGUUAGAUCGACGAAUGUUAGAUCGAAGUUUUACUGUACUUGCAAAGUGAUUUUGUUUAUCAUAGCUUUACAUGUUGUUCUAUUG